CAAAACCCUAGCUUAAUGUUUGCUUUCAGUUGCCAUGAUUUUCCUGCAGACUCAAUGCUACAAGUCAAUCUUUACAAGUGUUUUUGCAGCCUGGGUGCAAGAAAAUAAAGAAGACCCCAAGAGGUAUUCGGAGAGGAGAAGACUUUUGAAACUCUACUCCUCCUCAGACGUUCUGAGAUACUCUGCUCCCUCAAUAAUCUUAGAGCAAUGUUCCAUCUGGGCUGAUUACUCCCCACUCUUAAGGUACAUGUUCUGAUAUCUCUAAAUGAAGAACGAAGAAAUCCCAACAUUAUAUUUCAUGGGGCAGAAGUCUCAGAAAAGGAAGAAAUCUAAAUUCACAGACUAAAGCAGUAUCAUUGUUUAUAAUCAAAAAAGCUUGACAACUUAGAAAGACAGACUAGGAGAAGAUUCCUGAAAAAUGAUAGGCAAAAGCAAACAAAAUAUUUCAUAGGUAAAUUUAAACACAUGGGUUAAAAAUAAGUCAUAUAUUUUACCUUAAAACUUAUUUUAAGAUAAAUUUUCUUCAAUUGUAUAGUUUAAAAUUUCAUAUAAUUAAAUGUUUUAGAAGUUCAAAAACAAACAGCAGAAGUAAAUUUAAACAAAGAAUAAUAGUACAACAAUUAUUAAUCAAACUUCUUAAACAAAUUUGACAAUUUAAAUGAGAUUUUUGCAACUUUAGUCAAAGCUUGGUAAAGUAGGCUUACACUGGCAAGUCUAGUAACUCUUAACUUGGUAAGUCUGUCAUAUUUUAUGAGAUUAAGCACAUUCAUACUGAGCACAGGGUCAGUGAUAAACAGCAAAUACUGUAUAUUGUAUGGCAUGUAGCUUUUCCCCUGUACUCUCCCACGUUCUUUCUCUUCCUCUCUUUAGUCUACAUAUUAUACAAAUUAGAUUUUGCAAGCAGCAUAAGGAAAUCUCAUUAUUGCCGAAUAUACUUAAUAAUCAUCUUCUUUCUAAACAAAGAUAACAGCAAACAGCUAUGAGGAAAUUUUUAUGCAAAGAAAAAGCUAUGUAGUUUAUUUGUAAUGAAGACAGUACAAUUGUAUGUGUAACAGGUUAUUAAAUAUACCAUCAAAAAAAGGUUCUCUAUUAAAAAAAAUAUGCCAAAUUUCAAGAUGGACCUCAUUCUUUAAGAAGUAAUUCCCCUAACAGGUACUAGAUGCUGCUAAUGUACCUAACUUUUAGUUAGUAUGCCAUGGUUUUCCUUGCAUUCUUUCUUUUC